AUUAAAUAGAGUUUGAUCCUGGCUCAGAAUAAAUGCUAUUGGUAUGCUUAACACAUGCAAGUUGAAUGUUUAAUUUUUAAACAUAGCGAACGGGUGAGUAACGCGUGAAUUAUCUACCUUUUAAUUCAGGAUAAUUAUUUUAUAUAAAAAUACUGAAUAAUUUUAAUAAAGUUUUAAUAACGUUAAAAGAUGAGUUUGCGUAAGAUUAGGUAGUUGGUAGUUUAAAAGACUACCAAGCCGACUAUCUUUAGCUGGUUUGAAAGAAUGAUCAGCCACAUUGGGACUGAGACACGGCCCAAACUUUUUUAAAGGCAGCAGUGGGGAAUUUUGGACAAUGAGCGAAAGCUUGAUCCAGCAAUACCAAGUGAGUGAAGAAGGCUAAUUAGGUUGUAAAGCUCUUUCAUUAAGGAGGAAAAU
rnacentral:ncRNA from 1 species